GUCAAAGGAGCACUUAACUCUGUCUAACAACUGUAUCUCUGAGUCUAUUAUAUAAACAAGUUAAAACUUUCAACAACGGAUCUCUUGGCUCUGGCAUCGAUGAAGAACGCAGCGAAAUGCGAUAAGUAAUGUGAAUUGCAGAAUUCAGUGAAUCAUCGAAUCUUUGAACGCACAUUGCGCCUGAUAGUAUUCUGUCAGGCAUGCCUGUUCGAGCGUCAUUUCAACCCCCAAGCCCUAAUCUGCUUGACGUUGGGAGUUUACGGAGACGUAAUUCCUCAAAUAUAGUGGCGGAGCUAGGUCGUGCUCUAAGCGUAGUAACCACACUCUCGCUUCUGCAGCCGGCCUAGGUCUUGCCGUAAAACCCCUAUAUUUAUUUUUUUACUGGUUGACCUCGGAUCAGGUAGGAAUACCCGCUGAACU
rnacentral:rRNA from 1 species